rnacentral:rRNA from 1 species
GCAUGUCUUGAUCAUUCUACGGAAUACAAUACAACUUUCAACAACGGAUCUCUUGGCUUUCGCAUCGAUGAAGGACGCCGCGAAAGUGCGAAACGUAAUGUGAAUUGCAGAAUUCAGUGAAUCAUCGAAUCUUUGAACGCAUCUUGCGCUCCUUGGUAUUCCGAGGAGCAUGCCUGUUUGAGUGUCGUGAAUCUAGCUCAAUCCCACUCCUGUGGGCUUGGAUUUGGAUGCUUGCUGUGGGGGGGACUGACCUCUUUCGGCUCGUCUUGAAAUGCAUCAGCUGGGUCUGCCACUGAGUUUGGUGGGUGUGAUAAGAAACACUUGUAGCGCCAUUUCUAGACUCGGAGGGUGGAUUGCUUCCAAUGUCAUGUCAUUUGACCUCAAAUCAGGUAGGACUACCCGCUGAACUUA